CUCUCUGGUGUGCUGCCAACACCUCCAGGCUGUCUGGGGGGCUGAGUGCCUGAGUGAGAGUUGAUGAAUGGCCUCAGGUCAGAGACAUCUGCCAACGAGUGAGCUGAGGGAGCCUUUUGUUCAUUUCCUGGGAACCUGCGGGAAGUUGGGGCAGGGCGCUGCCCACCCAGUGCAGGCUGGGCCCUCAACAUUCCCUUCUCCAUGAGCCUCACAGGGUCACUUUCUGGGCCUUUACUCAAGCUGCUGGAACUCAGGGAGCCCCUUUACUUGCUUGGGGGUGCAUGAUGAGCUUCGACGUGAGGCAUGUGGCUUCCUUCCGGCAAUGAACUGUCUGGGGUGAAUGUGACCCCCACAGAUGUCUGUCUGCCUGCCUCCCUCUCACCUGGCAUCUCUGGAAGGAAUUUCUAAUAGCAGCCUGACCCCAUGGGUGAGUGUGCUCCUGGGGGUCAGGACGGUGAUCUUACAGAACCUAAUGAGGGGGCAGGUGGGCACGGGAAACAGCUGGAUGCCUGCAAAGAUGAUCCUGGGAUGAGUACCCUAUUCUCACUUGGCAUAGCAGGCACAGAGGCAGAGCAGCCCUGGUUCACCCAACCCUGCCACAGGCAGCCAUGUAAACUUGAAUAAAUAAAUCCCUUUGCCUCAAUGA
rnacentral:lncRNA from 1 species